rnacentral:rRNA from 1 species
UACGUAGGGCGCAAGCGUUGUCCGGAAUUAUUGGGCGUAAAGAGCUCGUAGGUGGCUUGUCGCGUCUGCCGUGAAAGCCCAUGGCUUAACUGUGGGUCUGCGGUGGAUACGGGCAGGCUGGAGGCUGGUAGGGGCAAGCGGAAUUCCUGGUGUAGCGGUGAAAUGCGCAGAUAUCAGGAGGAACACCUGUGGCGAAGGCGGCCCCCUGGUUGGAUACUGACGCUGAGACGCGAAAGCGUGGGGAGCAAACAGG